rnacentral:rRNA from 4 species
GUAAUAGCUCACUGGUCGAGUCGGCCUGCGCGGAAGAUGUAACGGGGCUAAACCAUGCACCGAAGCUGCGGCAGCGAACGUAUCACCCAAGACAACUUUACGGAGUUGACGAUUGACGGAGCGAAGCGACGUCAAAGCGUUCAUUAAAGUCGAGUUGGCUUAGGGAUACGUUCGUUGGGUAGGGGAGCGUUCUGUAAGCCUGUGAAGGUGUGUCGUGAGGCAUGCUGGAGGUAUCAGAAGUGCGAAUGCUGACAUAAGUAACGAUAAAGCGGGUGAAAAGCCCGCUCGCCGGAAGACCA